rnacentral:rRNA from 1 species
AUUGAACGCUGGCGGCAUGCCUUACACAUGCAAGUCGAACGGUAACGGGCCUUCGGGUGCCGACGAGUGGCGGACGGGGGGGUAAUACAUCGGAACGUGCCCGAUCUUGGGGGAUAACGAGGCGAAAGCUUUGCUAAUAACUCAUACGAUCUACGGAUGAAAGCCAGGGACCGCAAGGCCUUGCGCGGACGGAGCGGCCGAUGGCAGAUGAGGUAGUUGGUGGGAUAAGAGGUUACCAAGCCGACGAUCUGUAGCUGGCCUGAGAGGAUGAUGAGCCACACUGGGACUGAGACACGGCCCAGACUCCUACGGUAGGCAGCAGUGGGGAAUUUUGGACAAUGGGCGCAAGCCUGAUCCAGCCAUGCCGCGUGGAGGAUGAAGGCCUUCGGGUUGUAAACUGCUUUUGUACGGAACGAAAAGCAUUCUUUUAAUACAGGAGGGUCAUGACGGUACCGUAAGAAUAAGCACCGGCUAACUACGUG